UGAUGAAUAUUGUGUUGUAAAUUAAGUUAAGAAAAAGAAUCUUACGAUAUUUUAUAUACUUAAGAUUUAAGCUAGUGAUGAUUAUUUUUAGUAAAAUUAAUUUUAUAAGGAUUUUGUCACUCUUCUGGCGUUCAUCAGUCCAAAGUAGCAUGAUGAGUUAACAGACCUGUUCUGAAGUUAUUUGAGGACAAAAAAUAUAUAAUGUUAUUCUGAUUUUAAAUAGCCCAAGUUAGAGAAAUGGUUGUAGCCCAUAUAAUUGUGUGGAGAUUGUGUAAAUUAAUUUAAUUUUUACAGGUACUGACGAGACAUCUGGAAUUUCCUGUUGUGUGAUACCUGACAUUUGGGUAAGCACACAAAGAAAACUGAAAUACCUUGUUUAAGCUGAAAUUUAGGUUAACAAACACACAAAGAAAACUCUUGAAAACCCUGUUCAAGCCGAAAUUUAGGUUAGUAAACAAAGAAAACUUGAAUAACCAUGUUUGAGCUGAAAUUUAGGUACUUUUAACCUCGAAUCGCUGAUUGGACCAAAAAUUUAGGUGAGUAAAAAUUAUUCAUCACACUAUCUUCAAAUAAUUUUAUAUUGCAGGUUGAAAGUAGAUCAUAAUAAUUUCAAGUAAUAAGGUUGAUAUUAUACAACUUAUUAAAGUGUGCAUACACAAUUUAAAUCAUCAACAUAGCAAGUACAUGGUAGCAUGAUGAGUUAACAGACCUGUUCUGAAGUGAUUUGAGAACAAAAAAAAUAAUGUUAUUCUGAUUUUAAAUUGCCAAAGUUAGGGAAUUUUUUCUCGCCCAAAUCAUUGCGCGUGGCUAGCUAUCCUGUAAAAUAAAUUUUACUUUCACAGGUUCUUAAACACCUCUGGAAUUGCCAGUAUAACCAGACAUUUUAGUUAGUUUAGGGGAGUAAAAUUAUAAACUCCACUACAAAACACUGAAAAAUAUUAUUUUUAUUGUUUGGUUAAUGUUUGUCAUAAUUAGACUUCAGUAGUUGUAUAAUACUUCGAUAUUCAAUCAUCAAGAGUCCAAGGUAGCUUGAUGAGUUUACAGAUCUGUUCUGAAGUAAUUUGCGGACAAAAAUAAACAUUAGAAUCACAUAAUCUUCAAAUAAUAUAUAACCUUAGGGUUAAAAUAGUAUGACAUUACUAUGUAUAUUAAAGUCACAAAUAUAAGUAAAUAAUGUUGGUAAUAAUCCUGAUGUUCAAUCUACAGGAUACAAGGUCAAGGUAGCAUGAUGAGUUAACAGACCUGUUCUGAAAUGAUUUGAGGACAAAGAAAACAUAAUGUUAUUCUGAUUUAAAAAAAAAAACAGAAAUUAGUACUCAAACCUCAGUCUGGCUGGGCUAUUCUUAAAAAAUAAUUUUAUAUUUACAGACACUUGAAAACCUCUGGAAUAGACUAUUAAACCUGGCAUUUAUGCACAUGAAAACCUCUGGAAUAGUCGGUUCAACGUGACAUUAAGAUGUACCAGUUUCAGUGGCUAGAUUGAUGAAAACUACAGCAACUUACGUUUUAGCAACUCGGCAACUCAUAGCAGCUCAAUAAAACUAGCUACUAGUGAGGGUAUCAGAGUAUCAGAUUUUGCGAAUUCUACAUGACCAUCUGGGUAUAACAAAAGUCAGUGCAAGAUGGGUACCGAGAAUGCUCACGCCGCUUCAGAAACAGCAACGCGUCGAUGCUUCAAAACAAUUUUUGAGACGAGCCUGCACAGAUUUUGGGGCGAAUUGUUACCGGAGAUGAAACAUGGGUUCAUCACUUUGAGCCUGAGUCCAAACUAGAGUCCAUGCAAUGGCACAAAAAGGGGACACCACCGCCAAAGAAGUUCAAAGUGUCGGAGUCGGCUGGAAUGUUGAUGGCAACUGUUUUUUGGGAUUGUGAAGGGAUACUACUACGGAUACAGGAGAAUACUACGCAACGAUUCAUAAACAGAAAAAUUAAAGGAUAGUCCAUCAAGGAAAACUGACCAAAGGUGUGUUGCUUUUGCAAGACAAUGCACCGGUUCACAAAAGCAGAGUUGCAAUGGCUGCUCUGCACACACAUGGCUUCGAAUCGCUAGUCCACCCACCCUACAAUCCAAAUCUGGCCCCAAGUAAUUUUUCUUUGUGCCCUAAUUUAAAAAAAGACCUAAGGGGAAGGAAAUUUUCCGACGACAAUGAAGUAAAGGAGGCAAUUUUGGCUCAUUUUGCGUUAAAAGAUAAAAAAUAUUUUUACGACGGUUUAGAAAAAUUAAUUCAUAGAUCUAAUAAAUGUAUUCAACUUCAGGGUGAUUAUAUUGUUUCAAUUUAUUUCAAACCCUUCUAUUCACGAACUUUUGGACCUCGCCUCGUGUCUCAAAAUAAAUGAAUUAAACAAA